rnacentral:pre_miRNA from 14 species
GUGACAGAAGAGAGUGAGCACACAUGGUGGCUUUCUUGCAUAUUUGAAGGUUCCAUGCUUGAAGCUAUGUGUGCUCACUCUCUAUCCGUCAC